rnacentral:tRNA from 1 species
AGAGUAGUGGCGCAGCCCGGUAGCGCACGUGCUUUGGGAGCAUGGGGUCGCAAGUUCAAAUCUUGUCUACUCUA